UACGUAGGGUGCGAGCGUUAAUCGGAAUUACUGGGCGUAAAGCGUGCGCAGGCGGUUUUGUAAGCCAGAUGUGAAAUCCCCGGGCUUAACCUGGGAAUGGCAUUUGGGACUGCAAGGCUUGAGUGCGGCAGAGGAGACUGGAAUUCCUGGUGUAGCAGUGAAAUGCGUAGAUAUCAGGAGGAACACCGGUGGCGAAGGCGGGUCUCUGGGCCGUAACUGACGCUGAGGAGCGAAAGCGUGGGGAGCAAACAGG
rnacentral:rRNA from 1 species